GACUUCGUGUUCGUGCCUUGCCGAUUAUGGAGCAGAGACGCAAAUCAUCCGCCGUGUGGGACCAUUUUGAUGUCCUGGAGAAUAAGGUGAAAUGUCGAAUUUGCCAAGUCGAAUUGUCAUACACCAACAGAAGCACCUCCACCAUGCUGAGGCAUUAUCGGGCCAAGCAUGAGAAUGAAGUUCGCGAUACACCCAGUAUUACGCCAGGUUCCAGGAAGCAGCUGUACUGGAAGGACCAACACACUUCUUUCCCAAACCUCUCCCACCUCGCAAAGGAGUUCCUUUGUACGCCAGCCUCAUCCGUCCCUUGUGAGCGUGUGUUCUCCACAGCAGGAGAAAUCGCUUGUAAAAGACGCAACAGGCUGAAGUUUAAAACAUUGGAGCAUCUUAUUUUUCUCAAUAAAAAUUUGUGAAAUAAAAGCCCACAAGCAUCCUCAUUCAAAUGAUCUUCACAUUAUUUGAACACAUUGAAUGUUGCAAAAUGAAUGCAUGGAUGUGAAUGAUAUUGUAUACACUUCAUCAUCAA